UACGAAGGGGGCGAGCGUUGUUCGGAAUUACUGGGCGUAAAGGGCGCGCAGGCGGCUCUGAAAGUCAGAUGUGAAAGCCCCGGGCUUAACCUGGGAAUUGCAUUUGAUACUCUGGAGCUUAAGUACGGGAGAGGAGAGUGGAAUUCCCAGUGUAGAGGUGAAAUUCGUAGAUAUUGGGAAGAACACCGGUGGCGAAGGCGGCUCUCUGGACCGUAACUGACGCUGAGGCGCGAAAGCGUGGGGAGCAAACAGG
rnacentral:rRNA from 1 species